rnacentral:lncRNA from 1 species
GUAUUUAUAUUUAAAAUCAUAUAUUCAAUCAAAACAGUAAUCUCAAAUUCAGCAUUAAUCAAAUCUAAAAAUAAUUAUUGGAAAAGAAAAAGGAAGAAAAGGAUCAAGAAAAACUCGUGUAAGCUGGAAAGAUUAAAACUCUAUAAAUAUAAUCUCCACUAAUAAUCAAAAUAAGUGGUACAUAAAUAACUCCAAUGUAUAUAAAUAAGGACAGUGAUACAAUACAACUCACAUACAAAACCUCAAUUUAUUUUUCUGAAACUAAACCAAUGAAUCAAAUAACAAUAAACCUAAGCUCAAUCCAUCAAGAAACCUCUCUCCACGUAGCACAAAUGUAAUAAUAAUAUCUAAAUCUCAUAUGUAUAAACAAUAAAUUAGAAAAAACCAUCUCAGAUCUGGCAAGAAAAGAGUGAGAUCUUCAGUGCUUGAAGAGAGCAAGCAUGGAGAAGAAGAGAGAAGAGCAAAUCACAGCCCCAGACAUCCCCAAAGAAUAAGCUGCUCCUUGAUCUGGAGAUGGUGCUGGUGCCAAAUCUUGAGCUGAAGCAGCUCCGGCAGCUGCAAGAACUGCCACCAAGAGAACAAGAGCCAAGGACUUGAAUGAUGCAGCGGCCAUUGUAUAUCUUGAAAUGAAGAACCACAGAGAUUAAAAGAGAGAGAGAGAUGAGCAAGAAGCAGAUGCGUUUGAUUUUUUGUAAAUGAGAAGUGAAGAGAAAGAGGAAAGCGUUGAAGAUAUAUAUAGGGAAAGAAGACGCGUGGGGGGCCCACCACAGCGAAAAUCGCGGACAGGUGGAUGGCCAAAUUGAAAUUGGGCAAUGAGAAAUCAAAGAAACGGCAGUUCAAGUCCGGCAAGAAAGCGGCUGAUUGUUAAACAAUUUGAACGUUAAUAGGCCGCUGUCAGUUGUCUGCUGUCAACGGCUACUUUUUAAUUGUGUGGGAUCCAAUGCUAAAACGUUGAGUUUCAUGUUUGAAAGGUUCCCAGCUCUAUAACAACUUACCCCAAGAAAACAAAUUUUUUAAUUUAUAUACCUUAAAGAUCGAUUUUAUAUAACUUAAAAAUUUUAAUUAUAAAUAUAAAAAUCACAAAAUUUGAUAAUAAGCCUUAAUUUAAUAAUCGACAAAUAAUUUUUAUUUGUUUAAAUUUAUCACCUUUGUUAAUUAAUGUUAAAUUAAGAGUGAUGCGGAUUUUAAGUAAAUAAAUUAAUUAAUUUUAUGGGUUACGUGUACAUAUGUUCCUUUCAUAGUCUAUUGAUCCGACCCGAUCAAAGUAAUUUUUUCAUUUUUAAUUUUUUUAAAAAAUAAUAAUUAAAAUUUUGUUACAUUUACGACUUUCAUAAGUAUAUCUAAAUUAAUUUUGAUAGAUUUUAAAUUUUUUUAAAAAAUUUAAAACUUCAUUGACAUAAUGAUGUGGGAAAUUGGUUGUGUGAAUUUGGGUUGAAGCUUCAAUGCAGGUCCAAUCAUUUAACAUGUUUGGUUUGUUUUUAUCAUGAUAUACAUCCAUCAAUAAUGCCAAGAGCCACCCGCACCCGCAAUUAUAUUUGUAGAAAAAGUUAAAUUUAACUAUUUUUAUAUUAUUUAAAAUUUUAAAUUUAAGGUCAAUUAAAUCUAAAAAUAAGAAGUUUUAGAUUAAAUUUAUUAAUUUGGAUAAAAAAAACAAGGACGCAAUUUGUUUAAGAUAAAAAGGUUACACAAUAGAGCUAAAAAUAUUAAUUUUUAUUUUAUUUUAGUUUUAAAUUAUCAGUAAAAUAUUAAAAAAUAAUAAAAAAACUUUACUAAUUAAUUUAUAAAAAAAAUAAAUAAUAAAUUAAAUCAUCAAAUAUUUACCCAUCAUUUAAAGGGUAGAGGAAUUCAAAAACAAAACUCAACUAAAAUUCAAAAACAAAAUAAAAAAAUAUUUUAAAACUAAAAAACCACGAUGAGUCUUUCAACUACUUUCUCUUCUCUUUUUCUUUUCUCUUCGCUUCCAUUUUCGUCUCUUUGUUUUUUGUUAAAUUUUAGGUUCACAACAGUGAUUAUCAAGUUGUAUUCUAUAUGCAAACAGGAGAAGGCCUUACUUUCAAAAGUUGGGAGCAUAUCAUCCAAAAAAAAUAUAUCAUCAAAGAUUAUGAAAAAGGAGAAAGAAAGAGAAUGUCAUUAUUGAAGAAUCUUAAGACCUUCGACAAAAAAUGAGCUAAACACUUCCAUUUCACUUUCAUGCAAAGCUAAUCCAACCUCUAUUCCACUUUCUACAUCUCUACUUUCAGUAAGUGAAAUGGCUCUGCUCUUAUCAAUUGAAAUUUCUUCUAUUUUCUUAGGUCUACCCCACCCAAAAUCUGUCUCAUAGAGAUUCAAUUUAGGUGACCCAGAAACCAUAACAUGGAUCUCCGACCCGAAUAACACUUCCCAAUCCAAGAUCCAUCUUUCUGCCCCACAAAAAAUUUCUCUAUCCAAUUUCUUGAUCAUGUCUCCAAUCACAUUUGCAGCAACUAUAAUCCCAUCUUCUCCUUUUAAUUCCCUUCUACUUGCUGUUGAUCUUCCAAAUCCUACACAAUUACCAAAAUAUGAAGCGGGUAUUCGGUAGUCCAACCGGGUUAACCCGCCUGCAAUGAACCCAAAAUGAAUUGGAUCUUCUUCUGAAUGGUAGUUUUCAAGUUGGUCCUUUUGAGUUUGAGCUUUUACUAAGCAAACCCAUGUAAAAGAACAAGUUAAUACAUAUGGAGAUAAAUGGAUAGGCAGUGGCUGACCCUUUUUCUUGCAUUUACUAAUGAUCCAUUUCUUGAUCUUCUCCAUAUCUAGUGAGCUCACAACAAAUGUUGCUCUAACCAUGUUUGAUAAAUCUACAUGGGUUUCAGUACCAAUCACCAUUUCUUGUGAAGAUUUUCUCUUCCAUAAUUCCUUCAAGAAAAUCUCCUCAAGCCCAUAUUCAUCUUUUAUCACGGACCUGUCAAAAGAUGGAGAAGAAUUGAACAAGAAACAAGAAUUUGCACACAGUGAAGCCCAUCCUUUGAUGAAGUUGUUGAAUGUUCUUCCAUCAGCAGCUACAUGGUGAAAUGCAAGCCCAAUACAAAUACCCAUUUGUGGAAAAAUUGUAACUUUCACUGCAAGCAAAGGAAUGAAUCCUUCUUUGCCAGUUGCUACACUAUGAGUCCCCAACUCAGGCACAAGAGGAUAGAACUCAUGCACAUCUCUUCCAUGGUUACUAGUAAAGAACCUGAAAUCUCCACUAGACUCUACAACAGAAAAUGAGACAAAAUCCCCUGAAGUGUAAACAAUCUUGGGCUUGUAAGAAUCACAAGGAGAAAUCACAAGAUUGCCAAGAAAAGGGAAGAAAUGGUUGAGCGCAAGAGAGAGAGAGUGCUUGAGAUUGGGGAGAGUGGAGGAAAUGAAGUGAGAGGUGGAGUGAGAGUAUUCGUAGAAGAAGAGAGGUUGGCUUGGAGAGAAAAAAAGCCAAGGGAUGUCCAAGAAAGUUAGAGGGAGAGUAGUUGGUGGAGAUGAAUUGGGUGGUGGAGAAAUUUUGCAGUGAUCAAGAACUCUAAAAAUGGAGGAUUUUGCCAUGAGAAAGAGAUGGAGAAAUCUCUAGCUUUAAAAAAAAAAGGUGCUUAUGGAAUUUGAUGUUAGGUAAAUUCAUAUAAAAUUUGAUGUAGACAAUGAGUUCAUAUGAAAUGAGUGCUGGGAACUCUCUUUUUUUUUUUUUUAAAUUAAAUUUUACUUUCUUUUGUAUUUAGCUAAAAUUAUGGGCUAUUUUUUUUAAUGUAAUUUAUUUAUUAUAAGUUGAGUUAUUUAAUUUUAAUAAAGCAACAUGGGUAAAGCCUAUGUUAGAAAAGUAAGAUAAAAUUUAUUAUUUUUAAUUAUUUUAAUUAUAAAAUAAUUGUUUGCAUUACUUUAAUACUAAUUUUGAUUUAAACUUAAUUUGAUUGAUCAUUCUCUAUUUUAGAAAUAUAAAAAAUAAAUAGAGAAAAUAUUAAAAAAAUAAAAAUAAAUGUCUAAAUUUGUAUAUUUCUAGGGUUAAGAUACAAUAAAAAAUUAUAUUAUAAAAUAUCAUACAGUAAAUUGAAAAUUGUGAACAAACUCAAACCACAUACUCUGCUUUCCUGGGCCAUGAAAUUUCGAAAAAUCUCCCAAGCUAUGAUGGUUAAUAACCACAGACGUUCAGACACGCCAGUUUCCGUACUCUUAAUAAAGGACCCUGUCAGCCUCCGCCAAAUAUAUAAUUUAAUCCUUAAAUUUUAUAUAAAAAAUUAAUUAGUAUUUUAAUUUUUUAUAUUUAAAUUUAAAAAAAUAUAAUUAUUUAAUAUAUAAAUUUUAUAAAAUAGAACUACUCCACCCUUAAAUUUUAUAAAUUAUAAUUAUUUAACUUUUUCGUAUAUCAAAUUUUUAUGAAUAUUUAAUUUAAUUUUAACUCUAAUAAAUCAGAUAAUUAAUAUAUAAUCAAAUUUGAUAUAAAUUAAGGAUGUCAUGUUUUAUAAAUAAUACAUAUAUUAAAUUUGAAUCACAUUUAAAUUUUAUAUAUUAACUAUUUAUUAUUCAAAUUUAUUUAUAUAUAUAUAUAAAUAAUUUAAUAUAUGCUAUAUAUUUUUAUAAUAAUAUUUAUACUUUUUACAUUUUAUAAAUGAGAUAGAUAGAAUUUAAUUAUUUUAUUUUAUUAUUAAAAUUUAAAAUAUAGAUUAAUCAUUUUUAAUUAUAUUUUAUGUAAAUUAUUAAAAUUAAAAUAAAUUUUAAUUAGGUUUGUGAUAGAUUGAGUUAUUGAAUUUAUGAAACGAAUUUGAGUAGAGUGAUGCCAUCACAACUAUGUGCUAUGAUUGAAAUUUGAAAUUGAGAUUUCAUUUUAACAUCAUUAAGUUAAAACAAUUUCAAAUAAAACAAUUCUAAUGUUCAUUCACUAACAUCUGUUUUGACAAGACUAAAAGUUUAAUUUUAUAAAGUACAAUAAUAUUUUUUUUUUUUUGAAAAGGAGGGAUAGAGCCCUUUAAUUUAUUAUACGAUCAUGAAAAAUAUUCAUACAGUCAGCAUUCAAGAGGAGCUUAAUACUAGAUGAAGGCAAAUCAAUAAGACUCAUACCAAAAACUCCACCAUGCACACUAUUCGCAAGAUAAUCAGCUACCAUAUUAGUUUCCCCAUAAAUCAAUUAGGUUUAUAAAGUACAAUAAUAUUUUAAUUAAAUUUUAAAAGUAAUAAUAAUAAAAUUAGAUAUUAUUAUUAUUAAUAAGUCAGUCUCUAUAUUUUUAGAAAUCUAUUAAAACGAUUUUAUUUUUUCUCUCAAUCAAUAAAAUAAAACAGUGCUUUUAUUAUCUUUUUCGUUAAAGAUAAAUAAAAAAAUAGAAAAAAUUUUUUUUUAAAUUUAUUUUAUUUUUAAAUAAAACCUCUUAUUUAGUACUUGAGUACUGUUAUUAUUAAUAAGUCAAUUUUUAUAUUUUUAAAAAUUUAUUAAAAUAUUUUUAUUUUUUUAUAUGUAUAUUAAAAUGUUUUUAUUAUUUCUUUUUAUUAAUAAAAUAAUUUAUAAUGAUAAAAGAUAAAAUGAAAAAAAAUAAAAAAAGCAAAAAAAAUAAAAGGAAAAAGGAGAUGAUGAUGAAAGAAGAAGAGGAAGAGGAGGAGGCAUGUAGGAAAGUAAUUUUUUGCUAUAUGUUUAACGGUAUAAAAAAAUAAAUAAAUUAUUUUAUUAAUAAAAAAAUAAAUAAAUUAUUUUAUUAAUAAAAAAAUAUUUUAAUAAAUUUAUAAAAAUAAAGUGAUUAAUUUAUUAAUAAUAAUAAUAUCUACAAACUAAAUUAUAAAUUUCUCGUAAUUUUAUUAAAAUACAGUCUUAUAGUAAUUCAUUUAUUCAAUUUACUUUUUCUAAAUAAACAGAAAAAUCUCAUUUUUUAUUUUCUUGACUAAUUUGCCCAUAAGAAUAAUUAAAAAUUAGAUAUUUUACCAUGCAAAAAAUUAAGCACCACAAGUAAAUAAACAAUAAAAAAUAUAUAUAAUCCACUUUUAGCGGAAGAAAAACUGUAAUUUACCAAGAAAAACUCAACAAAUCUCCCUAUAUAAUACCCCCCAUGCACCUUAAGUUCUUCAGGCUGCAAAUAAAUUCCACUUCACAGGCAAAUUCGGCUCGAAAAUUUUUGAUAAAUUUUUUUUCCGAUCAUUUUCUGCCGAACUUUGCCUUACUCACCAAUGGAAAUGAAGAAGAUUGCAUGCGCUAUCAUCUUCACUGCUGCCUCCAUGAGUGCAGUGAUGGCUGUGGAGGUUCCUUCUCCUUCUCCUUCUCCUGCCCCAGCACCAACAAGCGCCGCCACCGCUAACUUGCCGGUUGUUGGAUCAUUGAUCGGAGCCUCCCUUGCUUCACUCAUUGCCCUCUACCUCCAAUAAAGAAAAAAAAAAAAAUCAAGAGAGGGAGAGAGAAGUAUACAAAAGAGCUUCAAGAAAAAGAUGUUCUAACUAGCUUUAUUUGGCUACGAUUUUAUUUAUCCUUUGUUUUUAUUUGCUUUUUUUUUUUUUUAUACUUUGAAAAAAUUUUCUCUUCUUCUCAUUUGUUUAUUUCUUAUGUUAAUCGUUUAAAAAAUAAUAAACUCCAACUUAAUUUUUAAAUUCAAUUCGAUUCGCAUUAAUUAUUUAGAUUUAUUUCGAGUAUAUUAACAAAUUUGAUUGUUUUGCACCCUGAACUAAUAUUGAUUUUAUCAUGUGAAUAGACUCUUAAAGGGCCAUUUCCAAAGCCCAAAGCCAACGAUGCAAUAAGAUUUUAAUUUACCCAAAACCAAUUAAACCUAUCGAUGUAUAGGCCGAAGGCCAUAGCCACCUGUGCGCAGCCUGGCCGCCAAUAAAUUCAAGUUCACUUCAAAGUUUCGACUCUGCUCGUAGCAAGGAUUCCUAUUCAGCUGUUUGUAUAUAAACCCUAAUUCUCCUCGCUCUGUUUCUGUGCUUGGGACAAAGCUAGAAUGGCUUCUACUCUGAUCUCCCGCAGGCUUUCUUGUAAGCUCUUAACUCUCUCUCCUUCUUCCUCUGUUUACUCCCAGUUCAUCACUCAUGAAACCCAGAAUCCUGGAUUUAGAUUCUUCACUUACCACCACUCCAAUUCUUCUCCCCCACAACAUGAAGCUAAUCCUAUCUCCAUUUUUGAGGCCCAGGCGCUAAUUGAGCCAAAACCCUCAAAUCUGAGUCACCAUUUUGUUAGAUCGUAUUCAAGUUUUACUACCCAAACCAAAGAUCAUGAUUUUACUCUGUCAACAGUUGAAAAGUCCAGAUGUCUUUCAACUUUUACUAGAGAGAAAUCCCAAAUUCCUGAUUUGAAGCACAGAGAGAUGAUCUCAAGCAUUGAUACCCAGUUAACAAGUCAAAGACCCAGAUACUUUUCGAGCUCAGAUUCACCUUCUGAUUCUGAGAAAUCACAAAAUCAAAGUGAAUAUCCUAGCAAAAUCCCCAAUUUCAAGCAUCAGGAAAUAGAGGGGCCAACUGUGGAAAGAGACCUCUCAGCUUUGGCCAAUGAGACAAGAGAGGUUCUAGAAAGGAUGAUGAAGAACAUCUAUGCUCUGAGCAAAGCUGUGGCGUUUCUGGGAUUGAUUCAACUAGGUGUUGGAGCUUGGAUUUCUUACAUCACCAAAGCAACUACAAUACCAGAGGUUUCAAUACAAAGUUUUAUAGCUUUUGGAUUCCCUUUUACAAUGGCAUUUAUGUUGAGGCAAUCCUUGAAACCAAUGCACUUCUUUAAGAAGAUGGAGGAACAAGGUAGGUUGCAGAUUCUCACACUUGCCCUUCAAGUUGCAAAGAAUUUGAAUGUUUUCUUUGUGAGGCUUCGUAGUGUUUCUUUCUGGUGUAUUGCAGGUGUUUCAGUUGGAGUUUUGUUCAACUUAUUAUCAAAAUAAUUGUCUGCUUGAUUUGUUGAAGUGAUAGUGUUUUGAAUAAUCAUCAUAAUAUAAUCUUUGUUGAGUUUGCCUCAAAUGUGUUGCAUUUAUGAUGUGAAAUUUAAAGAGCUCUUUACUUGAUAUUGAUUGAGCUCUAAAAUCUGCAAUUUUGUAGGAUUGUGAUGCUUGAUUUAUGUGAACAUGGGUUUGAACUUUGGGCACUUUGUGCAUUUCCAUUGGUAGAUAUUAAUUGACUAUAGGAAAGUGGAGAUGGAAUUAGACUAGAUAGAAAAAUACCCACAAGUCUACUCAGUUUAGAAUUAAAAAUUUCACAAAUCAAAUUCUUUUAUUUAGAAUGACAGAAUUCAUUUUCGUAAACAAAACUCUAAAGAUUAAACAUUUGAAAUAUGAUUGGUUCCUACUCAAUCUUGUGUUCAUAUGAACAAAUAUUAUUAUAUUUUUUUAAAAAAUAUUCUUUAAAUAUAAGUUAUUUUCCGUAAAUAAUGAAAGUUAAAGGCAUUUUGGCUAUAAUUACUUUGUGAUCUCAAAGGUUAGAAUAUAUGAUUUGAAAUUAGAAGAAUGUAAUUACUAUGAGGCUUAGAGCUAAUGAAAUAAAGCAUAAUUUCAGGCAUAAAUUCCUUCAUUUCUUAAUUUAGAUCAAAAUCAAAAUGCUUCUUUCUUAAUUUUUCUACCAAAAUUUUUAAAUUUUAUAAUUUAAUCUUAAAAUCAGAAAAGUUCAAUUUUUUCAUUUAAAUUAAAAUGGGGUAAAUUGAAAAUUUUAGACUAAUUUUUUUAAAAAGUAAAUUUAAUUGGCUCAUUUCAAUAAAAGCAUGUGAUAACUUAUAGUUGAUUUACAUUUUGUAUUAGCUAAAUUUAAUGUAGCUCUUGCCAUUCACAUGUACAAUGAUUAAUGGGUUUAUAUUAUAUAAUUUAUUUACUGAAUUCGCAAGCAAGCUGAAAAACGGCAGCGGUAUUCGAUUAAAAUUAAAAAAAUUGAUUAAAUUAAAUUAAUUUAAAAUUUUAGUUUAAUUUUUUAUUGAUUUCGAUUCAGUUUAAUUUUUAAUUUCAAAAAUUUUGAUUAUUUUGGUUUAGUUUGAUUUUAAUCAGAAAAAAAUUAAAAAAAUCGAACCAAAUUGAUUAAUGAUAAUAGUAUAUUAUUUUUAAUAAUAUAGAGAGAUUAAAUCAUAUCGGUUAAAAUAUUUUAAUUAAAUUUUAAAAUAUUAAAAAUAAAGUAUAAAAAUAAAAAAAAUUAUUAAAAAUUUAAAUCGAUGGAAUCAAAUUGAAUCAGAUCAAUUUGUUUUGAUUCGAUUUUUAAUUAAAAUCAGUUUGGGUCGAUUUUUUUAAAUACUAAAAUUUUAAUUUUUAAUUUAUUUAAUUUAGUUUAAUUUUAAAUCAAAUCAAACGAAUAGUAGGAAUUUAAAAAUACUUUAUAUUUAGGAUUUAAAUUUUUUUUAAAAUUUUUUCUAAAGAGUGAAAAGACCGUAUUAUUCAAUCUCUCUUGAGUAGUGAUACAUAUAUAUUUAAUAGCAGUUUAUGAAAAAACAAUUACCAAUAAAAAGAUGCACAUCUGAUGAUCAGUUUUCACCCUUUAAUCAAACAAAAAUCCAAAAUUCAACUGGAAGUAUGCUCCAAUCCACAGCAAAACUGGCUUCGGCGAUCAAAAUCUGGAUAAGUUAACAUACAGAAACUACAAGUUAUCACAUUAAUUAAAUCAAUUUCUAAAUUCACUAAAAUAGAAUUCUGCAGCAACAAGAAAAUUACAGAAAACUUAUUCUUCUUACUCUCACCUAUAUUUGCCUACUUAUAAACUUGGGAUUCACCUCUUCAUAAGCUCUUUGAGUCUUCUAAUCUUAAAAGGUUUUGAGGUUGAGCUUGAGUUUCUAAUACAUGGUUAAAAUUUUUUAGGAAAAUGACUGUAUAGUUUUUGCGAUAUAAAAAAAAUUCAUUAGUUAGUCUCUUAAUUUUGAAAAACACAUUAAAACGUCUCUAAAAUUUUAAAAAAUCUAUUAAUUAGUCCCUUCAUAUUGUAAAAAAUUCUCAACUUCUAAUUUAUGUGGGUUUUGAGAUUUGAUUUAAUUCUCUCUUCUGAUCUCAGAGGAUUUUGAAAUUAAGUCUCUACUACUGGUUAAAGUUACUUGGGUUGUCUUUUCUACUCUUUAUAAGUAAUCUGGUCAUGGUCUGGACACAAACAAAUAAGGGUUGCCAUCCACUAAUCAAUUAUUGGCAAUCCUAAAGCAUGCAGUUGCUAAAGCAAAUAAGGGGGAAAGAGAUCUUACCAUGGAGGAGGAAGAGCUGCAACUUCUGAACCCAUGCCUUCAUCCACAAUGGAGAUGGAGUUGUGUGCUAAUUCGCUUGCAACCCUAUGAAUUACCAAUCAUCAUCAAGAGACCCUACUAUAAUUUAGGAUUUAUAUAGCAAUAUCACAGCAAAAAUCAUAAAAUUAUUAUUUUAAUACUGUUUAAGUAGCGGUUUGACAGUAAUUUGAUACUAUUAAUUGUUGUUUAAGUAUAUAAAAUAACAAUCUAUAAUCGCUACUAUUAAUUAAAUCUCUCUUAUUUCAAUACAAAACAAGAAGACCACGACUUACAGAGGAAAUUGAUUUGGUUGUUCAAGAAUUUGGUGUCUAAUAUCCAAAAUUAGCUUCUUCAAUCCAUUGAAUGCUUCAAGCAGCAACUGGUGCAUCUCCUUGUAUGACUUCCAUGAUACCCAGAUGAGCAGAAUUGCCCAUGAGGCCAAGAGCAGCCAGCCAAAAUAAGGAACAAGCAUCAACAUUAACAUCACUAUCACAAGGGAGCUUGAUAAUAGGCUUAUACUGCCAGCAAUUGUUUGGUAGUUUAAGUGAUUAGCUCUGAGUUUAACUUCAAUGGCCCAUGAUAUGCCAUACAUGAUUAAAGCAACAAUCAAGAUGGGUAUGAUGAUGUUGUGUUUCUCAAAUGCAGACACUUCUUCAAAUUGGUACUUCACUUGAAUCAAGGAAGUUAGUACUGUAAUUAGAAAUUGAUCAGCCCUGUCAACACAAAACAAAAACCUAAAGGAGAAUUAAAAAAAAAAAUUAAUCAAAAGAAAAUUUAAGUAACUUUUUGAAGUUAAAUUCCAAAAUUUUUAAAUAUUGACUUUUAUUUUGAGGCAAAACAAGAUAGAAGGUUGUCGUUUUUGAGGGAUUGGACAAAAAAAGUAGUUGUCUUAUUCUCAAGUAUUUGACAAAACACUUUGUGGUUUUUGGCCUUUUUCUAAGAACAAUCCAAGAUGUCAAUAUACCCUACCUUGUAUUUUGUGUUUUCUACUUCAAAUCUAAGCUACUCCAACAAUAUGAAGGUUUCUCUUUAUUAUUAUUUUUUUCCCAGUCAUAAUGUUCCGAUUCUAUAGUUUCAGCUCAAAAAUCACAGUUUUAGUUUUUUUAGAAUUUUUUCUUUAAAUAAUGAGAAAUUAAGCUAAAGAACUUGCAGGAAAAAAAGUUAUGUAUAAUAUUUAACAAAAACCAAGAGAAAGAGAUCUCAUAGAAUAGAACCAAACCAACCUUUGAGAGGGAAGAUUUGCCAAGAGAUUGUUAUUCAUUUUAAGCUGCUUUCUUUCUUUCCUUCUUUCUUUCUUUUCUGAACCUUUCCUUAACUAAUUAGAUUAUGUUGCUGUUUAAAUAGAAAGUGGGAUUUGUAAGUUUUUGGUUGUCAUUUUUUGUUUGGACAUUAUCUGGUUGCGGCCACUGGUCAGCUGCUUUGUUAUAGUUUUUGGGUGUUGUCUAGGUUUGCUUAAUUAUUUGUAUCUCAUUUUCUGUCUUGCCGACUGUUAAGAUCCAUCUUACUUAGUAUUGUCUUUGUGUGGGAGGCCAAUCAUAUUGUGAGCUUUAGUGGAUAUAUCUUUGCUUAAUUUUUGUAGAAUUCAAUUUUGGACAAAUUAUAUAUGACGGGACACUCAAGAUCCAAUGCCUUUGGUGGUAAAGUGAAAAGUAGCUAGGUCUUAUACUUGCUUUUCCUAGUAAUUAGCUCUCCACUAAAUUAUAGUUGGAGUUAUAGUCUUGCAUUGCAUCAGUGGAGAAGCAUCCAAAAAAGAGAAUUGUCUUUUCUUUUGGCGAAUCAAUCAUUCGCUGUAGGCUUGUAAGAUAUCAGAAGUUUUGGUUUGAUAAAAAUUUAAUUUUACUUGAUUUAUUUUUUAAAUGAGUUAGAUUGAAGCUCUAAUUAUUUAGAAAAAUAAUUAAAUUUAAAUUUGAUAAUAUUUGGUUCGUUAAGAUUGAAAAAUUUAUUCGUUUAAAUUUGCUAACUAACUUAUAAAUAUAUUUAAUCUAUAAAUACUUAACUUGAUUUACCUCGUUUACUAAACGAAUCAGGAUUGAACUUAUUGAUUUUCAAUUUGAGUUUAAAAUGAGUUAAGUUGAAGUUCACGUUGAUUCAAUCUCAAAAAAGUUUUGAUGAAUUAAAUUUAAACUUUUUAAAAUUUAUCUCAAUUCUAGUCAUUUACUCUGCAUAAAGAUAGCAAGUAAGUUGAGUGUUUAUAAUUUUAAAUUGUUUAAUUUUUUUUAUAUUUUGUCAUUUAAGGCACUUUGAAUUAAGUCUAUUACCACCUAAAAUAAUUUAACUAAGCUGAACUGUAUAUUUCUGUUAGUUUUUGUUAAAAUUUAUUAAUUUGUUAACCAGCUUUUCACUCUCCCAUAAACUCAUGUUGUACCUGAAUAUAAUAGAGCAAUAUUGCUCUCUUAAAGUAUAUAAAAAAGUUACCCAAAUAUUGAUUCCUCUUUCUCAACAUGGUAUCAGAGCAAAUGAAAAUUCAGCCCUAGUUCUUGUAUCUCAAGCCUUAGAUGUAACGAACUAUCAUCCUUGAACAAAAAUCAUGAAAAUAACGCUUCUGUCCAAGAACAAGAUCAAGUUCAUUGAUGGAACUUUACCAACUCCUGCGAGAGAUGCAAUACGACUAUGGUUUCUUGGAUCACGAAAUGCCUUUCCCCUUCCAUUGCCCAAAGCAUCAUGUGGAUCGACAAAGCCUUUGAAGUGUAGAAAAAUCUUAAAGAAAGAUUUUCACAAGGAGAUAUGUUCAGAAUCUCAGAUCUGCAAGAAGAUAUCUAUGCUUAUAAAUAAUGUGACUUGGCUGUUACUGAGUACUUUACUGGCCUUAAAAUCUUAUGGGAUGAAAUGUUGAAUUAUAGGCCCUUAUCUGCGAGUUCUUGUAUUAAUCCUUGCAAUUGUGGUGCCAUUGUUACAUUUGAAACCUAUAAAAAAAAUGACUAUGUGAUAUGAUUACUAAAAGGUUUGAAUGAAAGCUUUGCAAAUAUAAGGUCUCAAAUCAUGCUUAUGGAGCAUUUACCAUCAAUUAAUAAGGUGUUCUCCCUAGUUGUUCAACAAGAAAGAUGAAUGAAUACAGGAGACAUUGUUCCAAAAGCAUUUGUCAACAUGAAGAUCAUGAAUAAUGAAAAUUCCUUUCAAAAAGUUCACUGUUAUAAAAGAGGCUCGAAUUUUAGCAAAAAUAGUUCAGGACAUGGCAAGAUUUGUAGUUAGUGUGGAAAGUUGAAUCACACAAUAGAAACAUACUACAGAAAGCAUGGUUGUCCUCCUGGUUUCAAAUUCAGAAAUUCAGGCUCUUCUGCAUACCAGUUUACUGUUGAAGGUUCUGCAACCUGUGAUAUUCAAAGUAUGUCUAUGGCAAAAGAUACUUCUACAUGCACUGGUUCUAAUGCUCUUUUCACAUCCCUUACUCAAAAUCAGGUUCAUCAGAAAUACUAUACAGCUCUAAUCAAGUGAUUACUGGUAAACAGAUCACUUCUCUUACCUAAGGUAAUCAUAUCUCUCUUAAUUGUUUCUGUAAAACAUCUACAUGGAUCUUGGAUAAGGGAGCAACAUACCAUAUUUGCUUUUCACUAUCAUCUUGCUCUAGCCACAAAUGAAUCAAGCCUCUCUUUAUUAGAUUACCAAAUGGCAGUGAAGUGUUAGCUCACUAUUCAGGCACUAUUCAUUUCUCUCCUAAAUUUUAUCUUCUAGAUGUUAUUUAUAUAUCAGAUUUUCAGUUCAAUCUUAUCUCAGUUAUAAAGCUGACAUCUUCUCUUGAUUGUUGCAUAGUAUUUCAUAAAAUGGACUAUUCUAUUCAGGAAAGGAAGUCUUUGAAGAUGAUUAGUACAACUAAGGCCAAUGGAGGCCUUUAUGUCUUGAACCGUUCAAAAAUCAAACAUAGAACAUUUGCAGCAACCUCAAACCCAUUUGAUGUAUGGCAUUUCAGACUUGGACAUCCCUUUAUAACAAGACUUUCUGCACUACAUACCAUAUGUCCCUCUAUCCCAAUAAAAGAAGCUUUUACUGUUUGUGACAUUUUUCAUAUAGCAAAUCAGAGAAAGUUACCUUUUUCUAAUAGUCAAACUACGUUUGUAAAAGCUUUUGAUCUUGUUCACAUUGAUAUUUGGGGUCCCUUUUCAACUGUCUCAAUCAUUGGACAUAAGUAUUUUUUGUCUAUGGUAGCUAAUUAUAGUAGAUUCUCCUGGAUUUUCUUUAUGAAGAAUAAAUAUGAGGUUAGAAACAUUUUACAGUCCUUUGCUCAAUUGAUUGAAACUCAAUUUGAUUUAAGAAUCAAAGUCUUUCGAAAUGAUAAUGGUCCAAAAUUUAGUAUGAAUGACUUUUAUGCAAGCAAAGGAUUCCUGCACAAACAUCAUGUCCUGAAACCCCUCAAUAGAAUGCCAUAUAGAAAGGAAGCAUCAAAACAUCCUCAAUGUUGCUAGAUCUUUAUUAUUCCAAUCUAAACUUUCUAAGUUGUUUUGUUCAUAUGCCAUUACUCAUAUUGUGUUUCUCAUAAACAGGUUACCUACUCUUAUACUUCAUGGACAAUCUCUAUUUUUGGAAGUUGUACCUAAACUCUCCUGAUUAUUCUCUGCUUAAAGUCUUUGGCUCUCUUUGUUUUGCUUUAACUCUUGCCUCAAACAAAUUCAAAUUUGAUCUAACGACAAGAAAAUGUAUGUUCUGUGGAUAUAAACUUGGCAUUAAAGGUUUUCUUCUCAUGGAUCAGAAAAACAGAUAUAAUUUUGUCUCAAGAAAUGUUAUUUUCAUGGAGCACAUCUUUCCUUAUUAAGAAUCACAACCUACUAUUUAAAUUGUCUCCCUUCUUGACUCUCCUACUGAUGCAUAUGAUGAUAACAAUCUUUCAGAUGUCUCAAAUUCACAACCUACAACUCAUCUCUAACCUUUAUCUCAAUCUACAAGAUCCUCUCAUAGGACAAAAAGGACACCUUCUUAUCUCCAGGACUAUUAUUGCAACUUGACUUUAGCCAAUGUCUCCUAUGUUUUACCUAAAACAAACAUCCUCUACCCUAUUGAUUCUGUUUUGUCCUAUAAGUCUCUUUCUUCCUCCCAAUUGCAUUAUACCUUACCAAUCUCUAUGCAUUUUGAACCAUAGACUUACUCACAAGCUGUCAAGCUUGAUGUCUGGAGGGAAGCAAAUCACACAUGGACAAUAGUUAAUUUACCACCUGAAAAAACUGCUAUUGGAUGUAAAUGGGUUUAUAAAAUUAAAUAUAAGACUGAUAGAACAAUUGAAAGAUACAAAGCAAGAUUAGUUGCUAAAGGCUACACACAAACUGAAGGCAUUGACUUUCUUAACACUUUCUCUCAUGUGGCAAAGAUGACAACUGUAACAGCCCGGCCCUUUUCCACCGGCACUGUUACCACUCACAGCCCGGCCCUUUUCCACCGGCCCUGUGAGCAGCUCUUAACAUCCUCUCACCCUCACGGGUUCUUGAGGCAGGAUUUGUCCCUCGGGGGAGCCAGUACGGCCCACCCUGGCCCAAGGGUUUUGGCUUAUGGCACUUAACAAAUGGUACUCACUCUCAGCCGGACCGUCCCUUAAAGUGGGAGGUCAAGGGUUCGAGUAGUGGGGGAGGCGACUUAUGGUGGAAAAGUGCCAUAAGCCAAAACCCUUGGGCCAGGGUGGGCCGUACUGGCUCCCCCGAGGGACAAAUCCUGCCUCAAGAACCCGUGAGGGUGAGAGGAUGUUAAGAGCUGCUCACAGGGCCGGUGGAAAAGGGCCGGGCUGUGAGUGGUAACAGUGCCGGUGGAAAAGGGCCGGGCUGUUACAACAACCAUCAAGACCUUAUUAGCCUUAACUGCCAUACAUGGAUUGUACUUGCAACAACUAGAUGUGAACAAUGCAUUCUUGCAUGGAGAUUUACAUGAAGAAAUCUAUAUAUUUUCUUCCUCUAGAUUUUCAGCCCUCUAAUCAUCAUCAGGUUUGCAGACUCCAAAAGUCUCGGUAUGGCCUUAAACAAGCCAGUAGAUAAUAGUUUUCAAAGCUUUCUCAUUCAUUGAUCUCUUCUUGUUACAAUCAGUCCAAAUCUGGUUACUCUUUAUUUGUUAAAAACACAGAUAACUCAUUUACUGCCAUAUUAGUUUAUGUUGAUGACUUGAUUCUUACUGUAACGACCCGAAAAUCAGACCGCUACCGGCGCUAGGAUCCAGGUCGGCUUAAGGCCGCCGGGACCCGUAGCAAGCCUAACAUACAUCCUGUAUACCUGUUUAAUCCCAUACAUGAUCAACAAUUACAUAAAAAUUUAAAACUUUCUCAUUUAUUCAUUCAUUCGUUCAUUCAUUCAUUCCUUCACCAAGCUUAAUCUGUGCAUGCACAAAUCAUAACAUAAAACCUCUCACUGGAGUUCUCAUCAAAUACUCCAAUGGGGUAUCAUAACAUACCUUAAGCUUAGUUUACAUAAUCAUCAUUAAACAUUUAAGAUCAUGUACUAAAAAGGGAUUAACAACAUACUAUGGUCAAGCACAACUCUAAACUUCCAUAAGCAUCAUUACAUUACAUUUCUAUACUAUACUUUUACAUUACAUCAUAUUCAUGUCCACAUCUAUCUAUUACAUAAAAUAUGACUCUACUCCUACUGACCUCCUGGUUUACCCUGUACCUGCAAACCUGGGGGUUAAGGGAGAGGGGUGAGCUAUAAAACCCAGUGAGCAGAAUAAAUAAACAUUCAGUUUAAAUUUCAUGUUUUCAUGAAAUGUAACACAUCACAAACAAUCACAUCAAGGAUGGACUUGUCACCAAUAGUCCUCUACAUAGUCCAAUCGUGCCAGGGGCGUAGAAUGGGCCUCACUGGUCUUUCUCUUAACAUAACAUAAUAUAGCAUAACAUUCCAUAGUGCCAGGGGCGUAGAAUGGGCCUCACUGGCUAUCCAUACCGUAUCAUCAUCAUACCAUAACAUACGAGGACUAAAGAGUCAUUCAACAUCCAUCCACAUCAUCAUUAAGUUAUGCAAUGCAACAUAUUCGUGAAUUCUAAUGCAAACAACCUAGUAUAUCUCAUGGCAUAUGUGAUGCAUGUAUCAUGCUCAAAAUUUAUUUAUUUGCUUUGAAACAUAAAGAGUUAUUCCACUCACCUCUGGCUGAAGCUCUAAUGACUCUGAAGCAGCUAUCUCACUGCUGAGGUACUUGGUUCCUCGGGUCCAAACCUACACAGGUGGACUCAAAUGAGGUACCAAACAAAGACUAACAUAACUCUAAACUGCUCCCCAAAAACCCCCUAAAACAUCAUAGAAUAACCAUAGAAAUCAUGCAAAGGAAAGCAGAACAGGGCACUUUCGGCGGCAGGUUCGGCGGCUGAAAGUCCCUCCAGAGCCGAAACUCAGCCACUUUCAGCGGCACCUUCGGCGGUCGAAAGUGGGUUCCAGAGCCGAAACUCAUGCAUGUUCGGCGGCACCUUCGGCGGCCGAAACUCCCUUCCAGAGCCGAAAGUCCACUUUCGGAGGCAGGGUUUGGCAGCCGAAAGUUAGCCUCCACAGGCAGGUUCGGCGGCCGAAAGUCCCUUCGGCUGCCGAACCUGAGUUCUCCCAAAGGGGCAGAAACUCAGCUCCAACAUGCACAAAUGCCUCCCAAACCUCCAAAUAUGCAUCCAACCCUCUCAAAUCAUGCAUUCACACAUACAUCAACACAUAGGGGUCUCAAACUAACCUAAACCCCAACAACAACACAAAACAAGCAACUCAGCAACCUACAUUGUCCAAAACUCACAUAAAAACCUAACAAUGUUCAACUAACCUAAAUAUGCAUUUCUACCCCAUGAAUCCUCUUAAAACUUGUUUAAAACAUAGAAUGAGCUCAAGAUCGACUCUUACCUCUUGAAGAUUGAGAGAGAGUGUGACCUAACUUGGAGAUUUGGGGAGGAUGGGUUCCUGAGGUCUCCAAGCUUCACAACUUCGAUCUAAGCUCGAAAUCUUCAAAACCAAGUGAAAACUCAUAAGAAAAUCAUGAAGAUUCGAAGGAAAAAGCUCAAAAUCGAUGAGUGACGGUGGAGAACUCACCUUGGCCGAAAACGGGGAGAAAAGCUCACCCGUUCGGACAUGGGAACCCCUUUAUAGGUGGCUGGCCAGGCCACUUUCGGGGGCCUAACGUGCCUCCGCAUGCAUGCCAUGUUCGGCGGCCGAACCUGGACUUCCCUCUCUCAUACCUUCGGGGGCCUAAAGCACUCCCGAAAUGCAUGUAUGUUCGGCAGCCAAACUUGAGGUUCGGCGGCCGAACCUGGGUCUUCCUCCAAGGUUAUUUUCAUACAAAACUCAUUUCAUUUCUUGCUUAAAACCAUAAAAUACAUUAAAACAUCUUAUGAAAACAUGGUUUUACCCUUCUAGAGGUUUCCGACAUCCGAGAUUCCACCGGACGGUAGGAAUUUUGAUACCGGAGUCUAGCCGGGUAUUACACUUACAGGCAAUGACAUAGCAGAAAUCAACUCAUGAAACAAUUCCUAGAUAAUGUCUUCAAAAUUAAAAAUCUUAGUGCUCUCAAGUUCUUCUUGGAUUUGAAAGUACUCAUGUCCUCAACUAGCAUUCACUUGAGUCAAAGAAAGUAUGCAUUGAAACUUUUGGAAGAGACAUGAUACUUAGGUUCUAAGCCUGCCAAGACUCCUAUGGAUUGCUCUCUUAAACUCUCAAAAGAUAAGAAAAUUCCUCUUACUGAUAUCUCUUCUUACAAAAAGCUAGUUGAAAAUUUAUUUUGCUUAACUACUACAAGGCCAAACCUCUCCUUUGCCACCCAUCAACUAAGUCAAUUUCUUGUUGUCCCAACUAACUUGCAUAACAAGGCUUUACAUAAGGUGUUGAGAUAUAUAAAGUAUGCUCCUAAUCAAGGGCUCUUCUUCCUGUCUUCCUCUAAAUCAAGCUCGCUGCCUUUAGUGACUCAAAUUGGGGCAGUUGUUAAGACACUCAUCGGUCUGUUAUAGGAUUCAAUAUUUAUUUAGGCAACUCCCUCAUUAGUUGAAAAUUCAAAAAGCAAAGUGUUGUAUCUCAUUUUUCCUCUGAGGCAGAAUAUCGAGUACUUGCCUCCGUUGCUUGCGGUUUACAAUAGAUAUUGUACCUUCUGCAAGACCUUCACAUCUCUCAUUCGCAACCAGCUAUUAUAUAUUAUGACAACCAAUAUGCUCUCCACAUUGCCAACAAUCCAACCUUUUAUGAAUAUGCAAAACAUAUUGAGAUGGACAAUCACAUUGUACAAGACAAAGUGCAACAAGGUUCCUUGAAGCUUCUUCUUGUUUCCUCGCAUACAUAGCUCAUGGACAUUCACUUAAAACCUCUUGUAGCUAGUCCCUUCAAUGCUUUAAUACUCAAGCUGAGAAUGUCAAAUAUUUGUUCUCUAACUUGCGUGGGGUGUUACCACCUAAAAUAACCUAAUUAAGUUGUGUUGUAUAUUUAUGUUAGUUUCUAUUAAAAUUUGUUAAUUUAUUAACUAGCUUUUUCCUCUCGAGUAAACUCAUACAGCAUGUGUUGCACCCGUAUAUAAUGGAGCAAGAUUACUCUCUCAAAUGAUAUGAAAAAGUUAUCCAUGUAUCAAAUUAUUAAUUUAACUUUUGAAUCAAAAUUCAAAUUAAUUGAGUGAGAUAAAUAAAUUAAUUGAGUGUCGAUAAAAAAUACAUUUAAUUUGUUAUACCAUUUAUUUAAAUUUAAAUCAUUUUGAAGUCGUGAAACAAAUCAAAGUUAAAUUUAAAGGAUCAAAUUAAAAUUUAAUACAUUUUUAAGUAAAAGGUAUCUUAAUUUUAGUAUACAAGAAGCAGGCGAUAUUUCCAUGAACAUAUAUGAAGAUAUCAUGUUUACAGCAAUCUAACAAAUGCAAGAGGUCAGACUAAGUGUAGUUUAAAGAUACUACUUUGACAUAAUCGGAGGUUGUUUACAAUUUAUUAAUUUUUGGAACUAACACUAUAUUAUUCCAAUUUAUUAGUUUAUGAGGUCAACUUUGACCUAUAUAUUUAUAGGUUAUUGCCUAUUGGUUUGUCAUGCAUAAAUAUUUUCCUACAAGUAGUAUUAGAGAAUUAUAAUUUUUUAUAGGGAGAUUUACAAUUUACUCUCUGGAUAUUGCUAUUAUUAACAGUUAGUCCCUAUAUUUUCAAAAACCUAUUAAAAUGUCUAUAACUUUUCUCUCCGUCAACAAAAUAGUCAUUACUUCUAUUCUUUCUAUUCUUCUUUUUCUUCUUUUUCUUCUUCUUCUCCUUCAUCAUCAUCUUCUUCUNNNNNNNNNNNNNNNNNGGACUAUUCCAUUCACGAAAAAAAACGAUGAGCACGUUUUAAUAGAUAUGAAAAAAGAUAAGAAUAUUUUAGUAAAUUUUUGAAAAUGUAGGGACUGAUUUGUUAAUAAUAAUAAUAUUCAAAAAUUAAAUAAGGGAUUUUAUUUGAGGGUAAAAUUGGAUUUUAAAAAUUUUCUCUCUCAUCCUUUAUUUAUUUUUAACGGAAAAGAAAAGGAAAUGACUAUUUUAUUAACGGAGAGAAAAAAUAAAAAUAUUUUAAUAGAUUUCUAAAAAUAUAGGAAUUAAUUUAUUAAUAAUGACAAUAAUUAAAGAUUAAAUAGUAAAUCUUUAUUUUUUAUUUUUUAUUUUACAAAAGUGUUUGAAUUUAUAACUUUCUAAAAUUCAAGUAAGUGAAAUUCCGUUGACUCGGAAUAUUAGUUACUCAACGGGCUAAUAAAAUUUCAAUGAGUGAUUUUAUGUAAAAUAAAAUUACAAAAAAUAAACUAAUAGACUAGGUACAAUAAUAAAUAUAUAUAUAUAUAUAUAUGAUCAGUUUUUAAUAAAAAAAAAAAACGCUUUAUUGUUAUUAAUACGUAUUUUUUUAUAAUUUAUUUAUUAUAAUAAAUAAAUAAAAAAUUUUAAAUUCUCUAUACACAAUUAAUGUAUCCGCUCUUUAAUUCCCAUUCUCUUUUAUUAAAAAUAUUUAUUGCUAUGUAUUUUAUAAAAAUAACUUAAUUUCAAAUACCUAAUUCUCUUAAUCAUUCGUGGGGUGUUGAACCAUGGCAACCCCAACUCUAACAUUAACAUAUACAAGUCCCUUGGCACACUCAACUCCAGUUCCCGACCUAUUCGGGAAUUCACCCUCAAAAAGCUGCAAAUCAGAACCACCAUUCAACUUACCAGACACAUUUGCAGCCAAGCUAAAGAAGCUCCCAGAACUUGUGCAUGCACUCAUUUCAAUUUGCUUGCCACAUUGGCUUCCACAUCUGCCACAGAAGCCCAUGAAGCUGCAAAUUUUUUUACAUACAUAAUGCUUUUGCUUCAGUUUAUAUAGUGGUGGGGAGGAUUGGCGUUAUGUUCUAUUCCUGACUAUGGCUGAGCUGCUCAGAUCUGCAGUCGUUUUCAGGUUUUCUGGUCACCAGUAGCGAACAAAAGAACAUGCAGGAUUUUGAAUUUUCGUGCAAGCCAAAUUCUUUAGAUGAUUCCUAGGAAUUUGUUUAGAACAAAAAUAAAAUCUACUGGUCCCGACACUACUUUCAUAAUUGCGAUAAUUACUAUAAUAUUAAUUUCUUUAAGUUGGAGAUGAAAGCUAUGAUUAAGUUUUAUCUUUUAAUGUUUGUAUUUUUGUUUACAAGCCUAUUAAAUGGCUGGUUCAGAUUAUCAUCUGGCAUAUGUACAUGACAAAUUAAAGGAUUCUAGAUUUUGAGUUGGUAAUUGUAGAUUAAAUUACCAAAACAUCUUAACUUAUUAAUAAUACAAUAGUAGAAGUCGAAUAGUUUAAUAUAUUUUUAAAAAAUAAUGAAAUUAUUAAUAAUGGAAAAUUUAAAGCCUAAAAGUAACUAUUUAUUUAAAAUUUGUCUAAUGAAAUAUGCUAUAAUAUAAUUAUAAAAUAGAAAGACUAGAAGCGUAUGAUGAAAUCAAAGCUUAUUAAUAUUUUAAUAAGUAUCUUAAAAUAUAAAGGUGGACUUAUUAAUAAUGUAUACUCCAUUUGAAAUUUGAUUGAAUUAAAUUUAUAUAUGGGUAAAGUAAGAAAUUGCCAUCUUCAGAUUACCUAUUAGCUAGGCAGAGACUAUGCUUUUAAUUCUAAAUUUCUAAUAUUUUAGCAAACUCUUGAUGUAAGUUUUGAGUAUAAGAUUGCUAGUCCUUAAGUGUGUAAUGUAUUUUCAGUUAUAGAUAAUUUAAUUUUUUUAAUAUUGAAUAUCAAUUCAUUCUUGAAAAUUACAAUUAUGAAUUAAUGUGCAUAAUUAAUUUAUUUAUUUUCUCACCUAAUUAUGUGAGUUUAUAAUCUGUUUUCUACUUUUAUCAUAUAAAUAUUGAUGUAUCCCGGUACACCUAUAAGUUAUAAGCAAAUUUAGUUAUACAACACAUUUGAAAUAAAGCUUGAUUCAAUUAUGAAAGUUUGAAGCCUGCAGAGUCUGACGAUUACAAUCAACAUAAGCCAAAAUCAUUGAGCUUGGACAUACAUCCACCAAUCCAGUACUCCUCCAUAGACCACAAAUGUAAAAGACCUUUCUUAAAAAUGUUUAUAAAUAUUGCCGAGUUUUGUCCAACUAUGAAAAUUGGAAAAUCCAAUCCAGAAUAUAACAACUAUAUUAUAAAUGCAGAAACGCACCCAAGCUUGUCUUUCAAUGUCAAAACAAGGUUGAGUUCUCAUAUGGGUAAAAAGCAUUUGGCAACCAACAACAACGUUAGAAUAUGCAGAUACAGAUGCUACCCAAUUACAAAGUUGUCUUUUCUUUUUCAUUUUUCAUUUCCUACUUUCUGUUUUUUUUUAUAUAAAAAAAAAAAGAAAUUGAAAUAAAAAUAAGAACCCUGCAACAAAAGAAAAACUACGUACCCAUCCACCCUAUUCACAAAUUUCCAUUAACGAUGUAGAUACUCUCAGGGGCCAGACAACUAGGCAGCCAGUGUCCAUUGUCUCUUUCCAAUUGUAUUUGUAAAAACACCCAGCCCCAUAAAAGAACCCAAAAAUAUUUGCUAAAAAGAGAAACUCUUCCAUACUCCUGAGAUCUCCACCAGUUCUGGCAUAUAUGUUCUUCACCAUAUACAGAAGAUCGAUACUCUGAUGAAUAAGUGAAACCAAUGGAUUUGUAACAGCCGCAGUGUGAAAACACUCCAUGCAGUGCAAUUCCUCGCACUUGCAAUCCGAACAUUUGAACAAAGGAAAAUAUGCAUUGUUUGAUUUAGUGGUACCCGAAUUCCCAUCAGGUUUUAGGCUCUGUUCGGACAUAGGUGAGACUCCUGGCAGUAGGGGACACAAGACUGUUUGGGACUGGAGCCCCACUCUCACCUGGGUUGCCUUGAGCAUCUCGCUUCCACUGCAAACUUCUGGCACCAAGUUUCAUGGGAGGGCGAGACCUAAAUGCUCCAGGAAUACCUCGGGGGAAAGGAACUCUUGCAAACCUACCACUAGCAUAUGGAGAGCCACGGGCAAUUCGGGGCCAUGUCAUGAUAGGAGUAGCUUCUUGGUGGGUAGGGCUUCUCUUUACAACCUGCAAGAAGAAAACAGCUUUAAGAAUCCACGACACAUCU